rnacentral:rRNA from 1 species
ACGGGGUGCAGCAGGCGCGAAAACUUUACAAUGCGAGAAAUCGCGAUAAGGGAAAUCCGAGUGUCAGCACAUGUGCUGACUGUCCAGAAGUCUAAAACACUUCUGAUAGCAAGUACCGGGCAAGACCGGUGCCAGCCGCCGCGGUAAUACCGGCGGUACGAGUGGUAAUCACUAUUAUUGGGUUUAAAGAGUCCGUAGCCGGUUUAUUAAAUCCCAUGGGAAAUCUGGUGGCUUAACCAUCAGGCUUCUAUGGGAGACUGGUAAACUUGGGACCGGGGGAGGAUGGAGGUACUUCAGGGGUAGGAGUGAAAUCUUGUAAUCCUUGGAGGACCAUCGGUGGCGAAGGCGUCCAUCUAUAACGGAUCCGACGGUGAGGGACGAAAGCUAGGGUCACGAACCGGAUUAGAUACCCGGGUAGUCCUAGCCGUAAACGAUGCAGACUAAGUGUCAGAUACAGUGCGACUGUAUCUGGUGCCGUAGGGAAACCGUAAAGUCUGCCACCUGGGAAGUACGACCGCAAGGUUGAAACUUAAAGGAAUUGGCGGGGGAGCACUACAACGGGUGGAGCCUGCGGUUUAAUUGGAUUCAACGCCGGAAACCUUACCGAGAGCGACAGCAGAAUGAAGGUCAGGCUAAAGACCUUACUUGACUAGCUGAGAGGAGGUGCAUGGCCGUCGUCAGUUCGUACUGUGAAGCAUCCUGU